rnacentral:rRNA from 1 species
AUUGAACGCUGGCGGAAUGCUUUACACAUGCAAGUCGAACGGCAGCACGGGGGCAACCCUGGUGGCGAGUGGCGAACGGGUGAGUAAUACAUCGGAACGUGCCCGGUCGUGGGGGAUAACGUAGCGAAAGUUACGCUAAUACCGCAUACGAUCUGAGGAUGAAAGCGGGGGACCUUCGGGCCUCGCGCGAUCGGAGCGGCCGAUGUCAGAUUAGGUAGUUGGUGGGGUAAAGGCCUACCAAGCCGACGAUCUGUAGCUGGUCUGAGAGGACGACCAGCCACACUGGGACUGAGACACGGCCCAGACUCCUACGGGAGGCAGCAGUGGGGAAUUUUGGACAAUGGGCGCAAGCCUGAUCCAGCCAUUCCGCGUGCAGGACGAAGGCCUUCGGGUUGUAAACUGCUUUUGUAUGGAAAGAAAAGGCUCUGGCUAAUACCUGGGGCUCAUGACGGUACCGUAAGAAUAAGCACCGGCUAACCACGUG